rnacentral:rRNA from 1 species
GAUGAACGCUGGCGGCGUGCCUAAUACAUGCAAGUAGAACGCUGAAGGAGGAGCUUGCUCUUCUGGAUGAGUUGCGAACGGGUGAGUAACGCGUAGGUAACCUGCCUGGUAGCGGGGGAUAACUAUUGGAAACGAUAGCUAAUACCGCAUGACAACAGUUAUUGCAUGAUAACUGUUUAAAAGGGGCAACUGCUCCACUACCAGAUGGACCUGCGUUGUAUUAGCUAGUUGGUGAGGUAACGGCUCACCAAGGCGACGAUACAUAGCCGACCUGAGAGGGUGAUCGGCCACACUGGGAACGGGACAAGGCCCAGACUCCUACGGGAGGCAGCAGUAGGGAAUCAUCGGCAAUGGACGGAAGUCUGAACGAGCAACGCCGCGGGAGUGAAGAAGGUUUUCGGAUCGUAAAGCUCUGUUGUAAGAGAAGAACGAGUGGGAGAGUGGAAAGUUCACACUGUGACGGUACCUUACCAGAAAGGGACGGCUAACUACGUG